CGAUGCUAGUGUGUUCAAUUGGGAGGAUUGUGUUGGUCUUAAAUGUGGUAAAAUGUUUUCCCUGUUUGUAGAAAGGACAUGGACAGCUUGUAGUGGACGUAUAACAAAGAGGUGUCGGAUGGCCUGGGUUGGAGCUGUGCGACGCAAAAACAUCACCUUUGGAAACAUAUCUCCGUUUAUGUAUGUCUGCUCUCGACAUUUUCAUAAAGGUCACCCUGCAUAUGAGAUGAUGGAGACUGACCCAGACUGGUCCCUCCAUCUGGGUCACACAGAAAUCUCUCGAUGUGCAACAGUGUACGAGUACUCGACCGCGACAGCGAUGAUCGAUCACAUAAACGAUGAUUGAAAUGAUUAUUUUUUUAUUGGUUAUGGCAGCACGUUGGGCGGCGCCCUGAUCUCUGAUUGGUUAGCUUCCCACUUGAUGCCUCAAAAGACGUUAGAAGACAGAUAAUCAUGGCCUCAAAGUCAAGUAAGUGAUGGCUGGUUUCCCUUUGAGAAGAACGAUGAAAAUACAGUUCAGGGUA